CCUACGGGGGGCAGCAGUGGGGAAUAUUGCACAAUGGGCGCAAGCCUGAUGCAGCCAUGCCGCGUGUAUGAAGAAGGCCUUCAGGUUGUAAAGUACUUUCAGUCGUGAGGAAGGUGUUAAGGUUAAUAACCUUAGCAAUUGACGUUAGCGACAGAAGAAGCACCGGCUAACUCCGUGCCAGCAGCCGCGGUAAUACGGAGGGUGCGAGCGUUAAUCGGAAUUACUGGGCGUAAAGGGCACGCAGGCGGUUAUCGAGUGGGGGUGUGGAGUCGGCGGGGGAAGCAGGGGAUUGGCAGUCAAGAGGGGUGGAUGAGAGUCGUGAGGAGGGGGUUAAAUCUGUAGGUGUGGCGGAGCAAUUGGUAGAGAGGGGGAGGAAUUGGGGGGGGGAAGGCGGCCCCCGGGCCAAAGAUGGCGGCUCGUGUGCGAAAGCGUGGGGAACAAACAGGACUCCAUCCACGGGUAGCC
rnacentral:rRNA from 1 species